CUCCCAGCCCUCCUCUCCGUGAAUCCGGGCUCCUGCCCGGCCAGGGUCUCGCUCCCCUCGCGUUCCCCCAAACCCCACCCCGGUCUCUCCUUCCCGGGGCGGCGGCGGCGGCCGCGGGAGCGGGAGCCGGGAGCGAAAGGAGGCGGCGCCGGGGACCGGGGGAGGCUCCGGGCGGAGGGAAGAAGGAGGGUGCGGAGAAGACAGGGCGGGGGGAGGGAGGGGGAGACCGAGGCGAGGGCGCCUCCCACAAGCCGAACCCCGGGAGCCGCCCCGGAUCCCGGCCCCGCCCUGGACCGCCCACGGCGCCGGGGGGCAGGUGGCGGCGGGUGGGAGGCUGGGGCGCGCACCGGAGCCGGGUGGGGGCGAGGGGCCCCGAGCCGAAGGCGGAGGAGCGGGCGCAGAGGCUGGGAAUCUGGAUGCAGGUGGAGAAGGACGGCCGCACGAGCAGGAGGCAGGUCCGGAUCCGGGCCAUCAGCUUGGCACAACCUCCACACAUUGAAAUCCCGCCACCACGAGUCCUCCGACCGCACUGCAGGUAUGACUUCUGGUGCGUGCAUGUUCUCGUCCAUGUGGCGGCUCGCACGGUAGCUCACGGCAGCCCUAUCAGCACAGCACGUGGCACCCAGAAGAUGGUCUUGCUGCUCUUCCUGUGGCUCUUAACAAACAUGCCUUUCCAAAAUCAGCCUCUCUGCUCAUACCCCCAAGACUCUGCUCUGAAACAGGGGCAAAGGUGGAGAAUUUCCAGCUGUGUCAAGAGCAAACUUUCAUCCUGUCUGGAUUAAUUACAAGUAGGAAAGGGGGAGGAGACAAAGAGAGGGAGGGAGGAAGGAAAGAAGGAAGGAAGGAAGGAAUGAACCAAGAGCCAAUGGACCUUAGGAAAAGGACUGGUGGCCCCGUUGUCCCUGGUUUUUGUCAAGCAGCCAGCCCAUGAGACAGGGCUCUCUCCUUUUCCCCCUGCACUAGACACCCUCAAUCCUAGAUCUGUGACGAGCUUGCAUCCUCUCUCCUACAUCCAACCCAAGUGAAGCCAUGGUGGAGAAAAUGUCCAGUCAUACAAAGAAUGUAUCAAGCAAGUAUCCUUCACUUUUUUUUCUUCUUACCAACAUCUUACCAAGGAGACUGGCGGUCAUGUGGCUUCUAAGUCUUGGGGCCUAAGACAGAGUACAAGCUAACUGGCAGUUCGUGUUGGGGGUGUCAGAUAAACUAGUCAGGGAGGAGAACGAGAAAUAGCUCAAAACAGAGGCACAACCAUUCCUCUUGGGUUUAACUCCGGAGGGAUUUCCUCCUCUGGGCAUUGACGGAGAGAGAGGGAGAGAAGACACGAACAGUGGGAUAUAGUCAUGUCUGCUUUUUUCAGUGGUAAGACAGUAUCACAGGCAAUAUAAUUUAUGAAAUUCUUUGAAAUAAAGGGAGGCAGCAAAGCAUAGGUAAGAGAGGGAACAACCAAAACCCAAAACCUAGUGUAUCCCUCCUGGGGGUGUUGUAGGGGUUGACUGACGAAUCACCCAUGUGAGAAUCGCUAGCCCACAGAGGCCCUCAAAAACAGGUAGCUCCCUUUAUGCCCCUAAAUUCACUGGGGGCCCAUCUCAGCUCAGACACCUCACAGUGGAUCCAGAACCGAUGUCCUGGGGGCCCCUGGUGGGUUCAGUCAAAGGAGUCAGUGACUCUUGAUCUCGGGGCUUGAAUUUGAGCCCCACAUUCAGGGUAGAGAUGACUUAAAGAAAUAAACUUAAAAAAAAAAAAAAACCAAAGAAAUGUCCUGGCCAGGCCACAUAGUGGACAGGGUUGGUGUCUUACGUUUUCUUCCAGAGAGAGAUUACAGCUGUUUAAGCAAAUGUGUUUCCACUUCAUGACUGUAAGUACAGUAGAAUGCUGUGGUGGAGGCAAGAACUCCACAUUAAUACACAGACAGCUCCCUCUUGCCUUAAGAUGGCUGAAUACCCCUCCACUGCACGGCUGUCUCAUAGUUUAUUUAAUAAGUCCACUUUUAAUAAACCCUAAGAUGUUUAUCAUCUUCUGCAAUUACAAACAAUACUGCAUUGAAUCACUUUAUACAUAGGUCAUUUCCCACCGUGGAAUCUGCUUCUCCCUCUCCCUCUGCCUCCCCCUUGUGCUCGGGCGCACGUGUUCUCUCGAAAAUAUAAAAUCUUUAAAAUAUGUUUGAUUAAUAACAAAUUAAUUGUAUGUAAAUUUAGCUUUGUUGUUAAAAAUCACCUCCCCAAACAGAGUUCAAGUUGGGGCAAAUUAUAAAAAGUUACCGUAAAUAAAAAGAGAUUCCAUAAAAGAAAAAAAUAAUAAAAUAAUAGAUAAAUAGAUAUAUCGAUAGAUAAAUAGAGUAAAAUAAAGGAGAAAAAGAAAAAGAAACCAUAGCAAAAGCUGUAGAAAUGGUAGAGAAAGGUUAGGGAACCACUAGGUCAGGGCUCCCGGUGAAGCGCCUGGUAAGAACUAAGCCUGCACACCUGUGUCCGGGCAGCCGUCACGCCCGGCAAAGGGCCCCGCUGUGCACCUGCGGCCCAGGCUUCCGGGUCUGGCCCACCUUGGGCUCCUCACACCUCCUCCGGUCUCAGUUUUGUCAUCUCAAUACAACUAUUCCGUCCACUUAUUGAUCGCAUAUUAUUGUAACGGUCACGUACAAUCCCGGAAACUUCUGAGGAGGUUAAAAACUCCGCAUGAAGGCAAAACAGUAUCCCCGCCACUGACUGACACGCGAUUCAGCACGUCGCACACCGGCCUGCCCUUGAGCAGGAAUUCAUCGAUGCGUUCCUAGUCCAGUAAGUACAAACUGCGGGCAACCUUGACGACGGCCCCGCGCUCUCACCUGCCUCUCCGAUGAACGUCAGGCAGGUGGAUGGACCCUGCCCCGCUACAGGUCCUCCGUCAGGGCAGUAACUCAGUGUGACCAUUAGAUGGCGCCAGUGACCAGGCGAGCCCUCGGUCCCUCCCAAAAUUGAGCAUUUUCCCUACUGAGGAGCUUCUUCAAGUUGGUUUGUUUUGUAACUUAAAAAAAAAAAUCAUUAUAAAGACUGUAUGCUCACUGUGAAAAUAUAUCGAACAGUAUAAGAAAUAAAAAGGAAAUCUCCCGUUUCUGGUUAAGUCUC